UCAGUAACAACGAUUCAGCCUUGUCAUUGUUACAAAAUCAAGGGGAUCUUUGUCACUAAGU
rnacentral:pre_miRNA from 1 species